AGCCCCAGGACCACCACAAAAGAAAAAAGAAAAUGCUGAUCUUUACAAGUUAAGAAUUAACCAGUUAUAUCUAGCAAAGGUCAAGGAGAAGAGGGACUAUGUGCAGUAAUAGGGGAUUCACAGUUUUAAUUUAACUAUACAAUGAGGGCAAAGAGCUGCUUCACAAGGUAUGGUAGAAAAGAGAAAUAGAAAGCUGGCCUGUGCUUUAUCACCUGGACACAGAAGACUGGAGUGAUUCCAAAUGUUAACAAGGAACAGUCAUACAUGUGAGUAGGUUACUGACACAGAGAGGUGAAAAUAACAAGAGUUUGUGAACCCUACUUAAAAUUCUGUCCAGAAAUGAAUGUAACCUACUAUACUAUUACCCACUUCACUUUGCUAAACUGCAAAUACAACUUUUCUAGUCUUACUAAUAGGCACCUGGGUAACAACUUGUACAUAUUAAACCUCAAAAUGAAGGAAAUAAAAAAAAGGAUUGUACAAUCAAAAUUGUACACUCUUAAAAAAAAAAAGUAGGCAUGAUGUUGGAAAAAACUAUGUCCUGGCCCCAAACCCAGUGAUUCUUUUUAUUAUUUUAUUAGCUCUUUUUAAACAGUUGUACAAAAGGGAUUUCAACUCAACAAGUCAAUUUAUGUGUACAAUGCACCUUGAUCAGUGUCACCCCUCCCAUCACCCCCAUCCCCAGCUUCCCAAUCCCAGUAACUGAUGUCUUUUUGUUCGGGUAUGG